rnacentral:lncRNA from 1 species
GAGAAGCUUUAUCCUGCAUCCACAGAAUGGAGACAACUUCCUGUCAUCCAAAGUUCUGUUGGGAAAAAGACAUGCCAGCAAGAUGCUCCAGAGGAAAGAAACCAGACAGAGAGUGCCCAUCCACAACUCAAACACCAUCUCCUUGAUUGAUUGCAAACGGUUCACUAGAACUGGAGGAAAGGGCCUACAGGGUGGAUCCCACACUUCUUCUUUCUGCU